UACGAGGGGGGCUAGCGUUGUUCGGAAUCACUGGGCGUAAAGGGAGCGUAGGCGGGCUUUCAAGUUAGGUGUUUAAUCCCGGGGCCCAACCCCGGACAGGCACUUAAAACUGGAAGUCUUGAAUAGUGGAGAGGUCAGUGGAAUUAGAGGUGUAGCGGUGGAAUGCGUAGAGAUCUCUAAGAACACCAGUUGCGAAGGCGGCUGACUGGACACAUAUUGACGCUGAGGCUCGAAAGCAUGGGGAGCAAACAGG
rnacentral:rRNA from 1 species